AUCUUGAGUGCAGACUUUCAAAUUCGUUCCCCAGUCAAAGCACCAUCUUUAAGAAGCUUAUUUUUUGAAAAGUUUAAUUUGAAUUUGAGUGCAAGAAUGUUCAUUGAAAGUGUUAACAAUAGCAACGUCAACGUAACUGGAGCAAAUUUUACUACUGGAUGUUAUGAAGUUGGGUUCAAUGUUGGUAUGAAAAGUCAAUCAAAUAAAACGUUUCGGGCUCGUUUUGGUGUCGUUCACGUUCCUACAAACAAAGGUUGUGAAAACAUAUCUCCCAUUUUGGCAAUUGGAAUUGGCUUGGACGUAAAUAAAGAUAAUGGAACCUACCAUGGCGUCUAUGCUUUCCCCGAAGACAAAAGACCUCAAGGCUACACUAAAAGCAUUCCAAAGUUAUUUGUUCGCAAUUAUAUAUGAUCAAAACUCACAAAAACUCUUUAUCAUUGAAGUAUACCUGCAUCUUUUAAUGAUAGAGAAACAUAUAAGUUGCUAUAAUAUUCACGAACGACAUAUAAGAUUGCUUAACCAACAUUAAUAACAUUGUCAUAUUUCAUCAAGCGAACGACUUACUUAUCGACGGUGGCCAUUUCUAUAUUUAAUCAAUGUGAACAAUAUAAUACACAAAUACUUAAAAAUUUCGUUGUGUGUAAUUUCAACUAAUUUUGGAAA